rnacentral:lncRNA from 1 species
CUCAGCGCCCCAAACGAGCAGGUCGCUGCCUGAGGAUUUAAUGGAGAAAUCCCAAAGUGAGCCUGGGUGCGUGGUGGAGGAGGGGCGCGCUGCGGCGGGGAAGGAGGCCGGAGCUCGCGCACCGUGCAGCCUGCCAGGCAGCCCCGGGCCAGCUGGCGCGCCCCGGCCAAGGCCACGCGCCCUUUGACAGCCCUGCUGUCGACAGCAGAUGGGGGAGGGCACUGGCCUGAUGUGCCAGGAGCUGGGAGCAGCCAUCCAGGUGACUAAGCCGGCCCACUGGCACUGAGUCACCUGCUGGCCCUGAGAUCUCUUCCUUCCCUUUCGCAUCUGAUUAUUCUGGGAGCUGGAAACUCGAGCUGCACCUGGGUCCCGCCCCUUCCCGUUCUCCCCUCUCUACCUUGGGCUCCGAGGAAGAUGGGACCCGUCAGGAAUCGGCUGCCACCCCCUAAGGACAUGGAAGAUGCUGUGGGGGCCCGAGGUUCCGGGAGAGAGAUGCUGGCUGGCCAAGUGCAAUAGCAGACAUGGUGAUCGGGCUGCCGUGUCCUCCGGAGGUGUCAGGAGAGAAGGGGAGACUGGUCCGUGCUAACUGGAGUCCUCCCGGGCUGGCUUUGAACUCCCCUCCCACAGGAUACUGCUGUACACGAGUGGCUUCUAGGGCCAGAGUGGCAUUUGAAGAGCGAGGCUGGAUUGGCUUAGGCCGGCCUGGGCAGGGAGUGCCUCUUCCUGGGCUAGAGACGAGCACCGGCCUGCAGGGAGGAGCACCAGGCCCGGCGGCCCCGAGGAGUGGCCACGGCCUCGGAGGACUGGCCAGGGAAGGUCCUCAGUCUUCCCUCUCCUCGGUGCCUGAGAGAUCUGCCCACUGAAGGGUGAGGAGUCGGGAGGAAGAGGAGGCGAGGAAGCGGUCAGGAGGUGAGUGAGGAACCUUCAGCCCUGGUAAGGUGUCCAGAAGCCUUCUCAAGACCUCCAUGAGGGACAGGCUGGAAGGGGCAGUGGACAGGCUGGUGGCCCUCCUGGGACGCUCUGGGUACUG